UACGAAGGGGGCGAGCGUUGUUCGGAAUCACUGGGCGUAAAGGGCGCGUAGGCGGCGUGACAAGUCACUUGUGAAAUCUCCGGGCUUAACCCGGAACUGCCAAGUGAUACUGUCGUGCUAGAGUGCGGAAGGGGCAAUCGGAAUUCUCGGUGUAGCGGUGAAAUGCGUAGAUAUCGAGAGGAACACCUGAGGUGAAGACGGGUUGCUGGGCCGACACUGACGCUGAGUGCGCGAAAGCCAGGGGAGCAAACGGG
rnacentral:rRNA from 1 species